rnacentral:rRNA from 1 species
UACGGAGGAUGCGAGCGUUAUCCGGAUUUAUUGGGUUUAAAGGGUGCGUAGGCGGGCUUUUAAGUCAGCGGUAAAAAUUCGGGGCUCAACCCCGUCCGGCCGUUGAAACUGGGGGCCUUGAGUGGGCGAGAAGAAGGCGGAAUGCGUGGUGUAGCGGUGAAAUGCAUAGAUAUCACGCAGAACCCCGAUUGCGAAGGCAGCCUUCUGGCGCCCUACUGACGCUGAGGCACGAAAGUGCGGGGAUCGAACAGG